GACAGCACAGCUGCCCCAGGUUAAAUGAAGUUCCUUGUGAGCACUUCCACCCAUGGAGCUCCAGGGGGCUUGUGGAGAGGAGCUGAAAAUGGGGUUCAGGUUUGUUGUGACCCUGAGUAUGGCGGCAGUUUCAUUACAGUAUGAAUUAUACUGAUUUAAAAUGGAACUUUAUUAGGCUUUAUCUUCCCAACAGCUGCAAUUAAUCUCUGUAUCAAGUGUCAGGAGUGUAAUGGGUCUGAUUCAUGUCUUCCUUAAGUGUAGUGUAAAUUGGGAGUGCCUGCUGGCAGGCACAAAAGAUUCCAUGUGAAAAAAUUAUUCUAGCUGAGGGAAGACAGACAGAUAUUUGAAUAAACCUAGAUAUUUAAAAAAUAGUAUUGUGAAGAAUGUUUUGAUAUAGUUAUAUAUGAAAUAUGUUUAACUGUGCAACAUGUAAUAGUUGUUACCACUGUGGUGAUUGCACUCAUCCUGACAGCAUGUGAUUUUACAAAGGUGUAGGGAAAAUACCAGUGAAUGAACAGGUAACUGCCACUGGCUCAGCAGCUCUCUCUGGGUUAUUGACUUGUGGCAUGGGAACCCCCUCUUGCACUCACAUGCACUGCUGCCUUGCAGAAAGGACUUCAUGUGAAGUUUUCCAAAAGUGACCUAUUUGAGGCCCUAUAGCUAAUGAUUUAGAAACUAGCUUACCACAUUCAAAAAUCCUGUCCUAAAUCUGGCAGUUUGAGGAAGUUUCAACACAUCCGUUUUUCCAAAAGAUGCAACAUCUUGGGAGCCUUCUGAGGGCAGAAAUUAUACGAAAUUGGGUCUGAAAAAGGAAAAGAAAAAAGUGCUGGUAGCCAGUCACUUUGAGAAAGCUGUUUUCAGUGUGGUGGUGGGACAGGUGGAGGUCAGGCCAGAACUCCUGUAACUUGGCUAUCCAGUAAAUGUCUCCUGUUGGGUAUGCAGCAGUGGCAUAUAGCACCUGAUUUGAACACUGUAUCAUAUUUCUGUUCAGUUUGGCAAAAUUUGAACGAUUGCAGCAAACAGGUGUUCAGUAGAGGUGAAGUUGACUUGCUGAGCUGAAAAAGAAUGUUUGUAGCACAAAAGAGAGCUUGGGUUUAUACAUACUAAGCACAGAAAUGCUCGUGGAGGCAGGAAGCUUCAACCUUCAGAUAAUGGCCGUAAAAGUGACUUUUGAGAUAGUGGUGGCAAGUGGACACAGAUAACAGCCCCAGUCAGUGAUGAGAUGCAACUUACAAAAGCUUUGAUACUGCCGGCUGGGGCCAAAGGCUCUGGGAGCAAUGCCGGACUGGCCCGCCUGGUGGCAAACUGCUUUCACUGGAAGCGCCUCUCCAUGUAGAAGGUGUAACUCUAGAGUGACUUAGCUGACUUGGGCAAACGUUUCCUGAAACCAUGCUAGCUGGAAACCAGCCUGGAUGUGCCCUCUCCCUCCUACCACCAGGGAACUUCUUUUUUCUGUGACAUUGCAAUGGAAGGUGGAGACACCUCGAGGAGAAGGUCGAAACAGACAACAGCAAUUACAGUCAAUAGCAUCUAUGACUUGAGAAAGUCUUGUCUCAAUUACAGAAACCUCAGGAGGACUGUCCACCCUUCAAAUCUUUUUUGAUGAGUUUUAAAUGCAUGAUAUGGAGCACAGCCACUCUCAGUAGGUUGCAGAAAGAGGACAUAAAAUCAUAAUGUCUUCAGAGGGGUUUGGCUGCCUGUGUUCAAGAUCUGCCCUGGUAUGGUGGAGUGUAACCUGGGAUCAGAGUGCUGUGAAAAGAGCUGUGUGCCAAAGAGCUGGGAGAAGCCUGCUGGGGCCUCCCCACUUCCCUUGGGAGCCACAGCACAGAGCUGCCCUUGUCCUCGGUGCUCAUCUAGGGUAGGCUGUCAGGGUGUCUGUGCCUGGCUGUGGACCUUGCUGAUCCUGGCUUGCUCACUUGACUUUCUGGCUUGGCUUCAGACCGGGCUCAUCCCUCUGGGCUUCUCUGACGAUCAUUGGGCUACUGGCUAAAUGUGGUUACUAUCUCCAGACCUGCUCCGCUCCUUUUGGUCACCGUGGCACUGUGCCACUUUACACUGAGGUCCUGUCCCUGCCGGCCCCGCUGUCAGCCCAGCUCGCCUUUGCUCCGUGCUCCCCAAGCUGCUCUGCAGCUGCUGCACUGCCCUGCUCCCGGCAUUCACCGCAGGCACAUCAUCUCCAUCUGUGUGAGAAGUCAGAGAAUAAAUGGGCAGUGAUAUGAGAGAUAUGGUGGCAUCAGGGUGAUUUAUUGCUAUGACAAAUAAGAAAGAUGUGGCAUUAGCUUUGCCUCCCUUCAUUCCCAACUUCCUGAAAAGACAAACCAAAAUUCGGGUCCACUGGUGAGAGCUCAGACCACCAAGAAAACAGCCGGCAGGAGGAGCUCUCUAGACAUUUCGCUGCAUCAUUUUCAGACAGUCAUAGCUGCGUAUUUCAAGGGCAUCGCUUUAGAUCUGCUUUCUUGGGACUUCCUUAGAGACAAACCAGCAGCAGCAGAAGACGGAGGAAACUUCGUGAUACUGCAACUGAACAGCUCCAGUGAUUUUUAUUUAUUUAUUUGUUUGUUUGUUUAGAGGCUUCUCAGGUUCCUUCUCCUACCAUGAUGCCUUUCUCUGUCAUUUGAGAAACUUGUGGUGUUCAUGAAGAUGUUGGGGAUUCUGUUUGGUCUCUCGAAGGGACCAAGUGCUUUAUCUUCCAAGAAAGCUAGUGUAAGAUUUUGUGGACAGCAUUCUAGCCACAGAGUAAAGAAUUCCAAAGCAAUGAUUGUCUUUGCGUAGAGAGAUAUCCUUCUGGAUUUCUCAUGACCUCCAAGGGGACAUGUAAUCAAAGAGCUCUGAAAUGUAUCAAUGCCACUGUGAAUGUUGACCUGACAAAGUUAUUCAAAUAGUUCUGUCUCUUCCUAUGCAGUUCAUCUUUUUCUUCUGUAAGAAGCAGGUACAGAGGACAGUAGUCACUCUUUUGCACAGCACUGUGUUCUCAUUAGUUAGGUGCAAAGUAUCACUCUGCUUCUUCAGGCCAGUCCUGCACUCCUAAAUUGCAUGGGCCCCAUGGCCGUGCCUCUGCACUGCCUCUAAAAGAGAAUUAAGAUUUUCUUCUUUUUUUUUUUUUUUUUAAUUGGUGAAUUUUUUACUGUCUGUAAGUCUGGCCCUCAUUUAGUUAUCUAAAUGGGAACUAGAUGCUUUCUGCUCUUGAAGUUGCUGUAAUAAUUAUUUUGAUUCUGAAUGUGCCAGAAACUAUUCUAAUGCAUAUCAGUGUAAAUUAAGUCAAUAGAGAUUCCUCAAAUUUAUCCUGGUGUUCAAGAGAAUGGAAUUCAUGCACUUCAAUUUACAACUUAUUAAGUGAUCAGAAUUAAUGAACUCGCAACAACCUUUUCUGUUCUUGUUUACAUGUUUUUUUCCUGUUCACUCAUAAUGUACAUGAUUUAGAAAAAGCGGAGAGUUGAAAAGGCAGUGUGUGGGUCAGAUAUGUCCCACGGAGCACAGCAUUGUGCUUCAGGCUGUAAUCAUAUUUGCAAAGCUGCUAUGUAGAAAUGGCACCUUCUGACUUAGUUGAUGCAUGGAAACCCAGCUUGAUUUUCAGAACCCUCUCUGCAUCCUGAAACCUAGAAAAAUAUUUAUACUGAGGAACAGGGAAGGUGCUCUUCACAGUCACUGGAGUUUAACAGAUACAGAAUAGUUCUUUAUUUCUUUUUUUUUUUGAAAGUAAUUUUUCAGUGUAGUACCAUAUUUCAGUCUGGAGGUUGGCAAUAAUGCAAACCAUCGGAUCCACCUUUCCUUUUAUUCUGAGACUUGGAAGUCACUUGGGAUGUCACCAAGAAAACCUCACAUAAACCCUCUUUUUCCCAAGACCAACUGAAGGUUAUCCUACUGUGAUUCAUUCAGUUCAAGGCUGGAAUGAUGAACGGUUCCCUUUAAUUUUCAUAGUGUUUAAGGCUAAAUUUGUGAGGCUGCAUGCUCAUCUGGACAUCAUUUCUCUCUGACUUCAUGGAACAGGACAACUUUCAAAUGCUCCAUCUGAUCCAUUGCAAAAAUUUCAGAGGUUUCCUCUUAUUACUGGGAGAGAGAACACCACUAAUUUGUGAAAAUACUGUGAAAUCAAAAAGGAAAAAUAGGGGAGCAGCAGUAAUUUGGAUACUACUUCAUUUGUAGAUAAAGCGACUGGGUGAUAGCACUCGCAUACCAAUACCUUUAUCUCAUCUCUGUCUAUCACUCUAGAAAAGUUAUUGUGUGAGCACACUGGAAGAUCUGUCACCAGGUAAAUAGAUGACUCUUAUGCAAGCUCUGCAGAACUGCGGAAGAUUGAUGAUCUAAGGCAGGAAGGAAAAAGGAUGGGGGACACACAGCAACCCCGAUGUGAGGGAGUUGAGGUUACCCUGCUACAGCAGUAGUAGUAUAGGUGUGCACAGAGACCCUGAUAGCAACAUUAGAGGACCUAUUUAGUCAGGGAUAGGAGGUGGAUGGGACAUUAAAAUACUGUUGUAGAAGAGAAUUCCUGAUGAGGAAAAUGUUGGGAUCGCAGCAACUCAUACACAGCCUGCUUGGGGGCAUGCACAUGCCCCAGGCAUUGGAGGGGGAGCUGAGAAGUUUGGAAAGAUGACAUAUGAGGCAUUUGUGCAGGGGGGGAGUGGGGCUUAUGGAGUAAAUCCCUGUGUGAGAGAGCAAAAUCUUCAAAGGGGUGGCUGUAGAUACUGAACUGCCCUCAAGAAAUGAGAAAUAGAGGGCAGGCCAUCCAUGUCACACUGAGCAGCUAUGCUGUCAGAGUUGCUGAGAGCAAGGGGGCCAAGGCAGCAAAUGGGAAAGGUUGUUUCAAACCAUAUGGACUGGUUCUGACCAAUGUAUGACUUGCUGAAAACCAAAGAAACUGGUUAGUAGCUCAGGCAGGCUAGAGUGGAGCCCAGGGCUGAAUAGACCUCCAAGCAGGGCCACACAAACAGCUGACCGUGAGUUUGGUCCCUGCAGAGCAGCUGGAACUGACUGCCUGGCUUCUCCUCUCUGUGCUGGUGUGGAGGUGGUGCAUCUCGGGCUACUGGGCAGUUCCUGUGCAUGAAAGGACUGUGCAGAGGCAGGUAGUCUGUGGAAGUUGAUGUAUGACAAAUUCCAUUUUGUUUUUACCUCUUUGUUGCUUAUGCACUUGCAUACCAGUGUUAAAAGAUAAGGGACACCCUCAGAGGAAAGAGUAGUGAAGUGAUCCUGAGCUCACUCUGAAGAUUUGUAAAAAUGGGGUGAAGAGAGCCCAUGGUUACAUCUAAGGAAGGUAGAGUACGCUGGAUUCACAGGACUCUGCUUUAAGUACAACUGACUUAUAAUUCUGAUGGAAAAACAAACAUGUCUUAAUACAAGUUUCAAAUACUG